CAUUACUGUAAUAGUUUGAUAAGCCAACCGAAAUGUAAUUGCUCGCAACACAUCUGACAGGUGUCAUUUGAGGAAAGGAUGACAAGUUUGAGAAAUGCUCCAAUAACGGAUUCUGUAGCGACGGCUGAAAGUAAACAGUGAUUCAGACAGGUCUGCUGUUGAGCUCACUGACGGAUGUUUCCAAGGGUGGAAAAACAAACCAGCCAAUCAGAGCUUUAGUAGGUGGGAUUAAGAAUGAACAUCAUUGUACUGUACCAGAUUAUGCACGUUGUUACAAGUCACCUUAAGCCUUGGUCACACUACACGACUUUCAAUGAUGUCAGAUCUCUACACUGUUCACACUACACAACUAUCUGUCUUGUAAUCAGAGGUUUUGUAGUUUUGGUUUUUACACUACAUGACUGAUGAUCAACGGGGGAUCAUGCACUACAACAUCUUUCACAAGGAGUAAUCCUGAGUCUGUCUCCAAACUGUGUUUCAUCAGAUCCUAAGUUGGCUCUGUGUUCUCUGCACCUCUCACCUUCUCCUGAACAUCUCAGCGAAGAUGCAGCCAACACUCCACAGGUCAACUGGCGUGGCGUAACUGGACUGGAGCAGCACCUCUGGGGCUCUGU